GCCAAGAUAGCUCAUCAGGUAGAGCACCGGUCUGAAGAACCGGGUGUGGUUGGUUCGAGUCCGACUCUUGGUACCA
rnacentral:tRNA from 1 species